UACAUGAGUGGCGAGCGUUAUCCGUAUUUAUUGGGCGUAAAGGAUGUGUAGAUGGUAAAAGAAGUUGUAAUAAACUAUAACAGAUAAUUGGGUCUUUUUACAAAACCUUUUUACUAGAGUUUAUAUAAAGUUUAUAUAAGUUGUAAAUUAGUGAUAAAAUACUUUGAAUUUACAAUUAUUUUCAAUGGCGAAAGCAAUAAACUAAUAUAAACUGACAUUGAGACAUGAAAGUAUGGUUAUCGAAUAGG
rnacentral:rRNA from 1 species